AGUGUUUUUGCUGGAGCUUUUAGAAGCGCAGAGUUUGCAUUUGUAAAAUAUCGUAUUCACAUCAAGAUUUACUUCAUACAUUUUACAUCCUACUCGUUGUUAAAGUGCAUUAUUUAGGAGUUAAUUUAGCGAGCUACCUUGUGGCGUGGUGGUUUUAAGGCGCCGCUUUCAAAGCGUAAUACUGUUUUAUUUUCAAAUUUUAAAUAUUUUUUUUCAAUUUCUUUUGAGUCUGAAUUUAAGGUUCAUAUAUAGGUCUUAGGAUUAGCCGAUUAGGAUUUAGGGUUUUGUGCGGUAGGUUUAUUUUUUUAAAGAGAAUAUUUAACACUUUAGGACUAAAUUUCCUGACUGCCGGUGUCCCAGUUGAUUUGGACCCCCGUAGAUUUGGACCCCCGGUCCA